ensembl:lncRNA
CUUUGAAUGUAUGGCGGCGUCGUUUGUGUGGAUUAUGCGUCAACAUUUCUGUCCUGGUUAUGGAAACGUUUAUGAUUCAUGCGAUUAUAUGUAGACAAUAAACUAGUGUUUAAAAAAACAAAACAAAUGAGAGAGAUGUUUUUUUAAAGAAGUAGCGCUAGAAUUGAGUGCUGUUACUAUACGGAGCUAAAUAGCUAGCUUAGCUUCCUGCAUUAAGGCCUAAUUGUGAGCUUGGCACGUUUUAGGAAGCAACCUUGGGGAUAGAUAUGAGUGUUUAGUUACAUGUUGUAUCAUUUUGAAUUUAGUCGGUUAAUCUGCUUUGAAAUUAUAUAGUGAGGUUCUGCAAACAUGUUAAAUGACCUGAGCAUUGGAUGAUGAUGAUGAUGAUGACCUGCUAAUUUAGACAUUGAUCUCUGAAGGCUUUAUUCUGAAGGUCCACCUUCCUCUGAGCUGAAGCUUUAUCUCCUAGAACAGCAGCAAACAUGACUGGAAUCCAAUCCAGAGAUGAGUCGGUUGGAGACAGUUCUGAUGAUGAACCUCUGAGUAAAAUGGUGAAACCUGGCAAGAAGUGUCCAGAAGAUGCACCCUCGGAUAUCAUGGAAGAUGCUUCACCAAAGAAAACCCUUAAAGAGCCCACCUCUGCUGCGGAUGAGUGCCCUGGACACAGCUCUGAUGACGAGCCUCUGAGCAAACUGACUGAAUCAAAGGGGGCGAAGCGCUCAAGUAAACAAAAAGAGACUGCUGCGGGGAAGCAGUCAGAAUCUGAAGACGAUCAGCCGCUGACGAUGAUUAUCAAGAAGAAGAAGCAGAAGGCUGACACAGAAGAGCCUGAAGAUGCCAAGAAGACCAGAAGCCCAAAAAAGCGUAAAGCUGUGACGAAGGCCUCAAAGCUCAGAGAUUCAUCACCCUCGCCAUCGCCGUCGCCAGUGAAGGCCACACAGAGAAGAGGACAAAAAGGUAAGGACGAGUCGAAAAAGAAAGUACCGGCACAUUCACCAGCUGUGAACACGACGCCUAAAAGGAGAGGUCGCGCCAAGAAAGAAGGAAAAGCCCCGUGUAGCGACAGCUCGGAUGACGAGCCCUUGAGCGAGCUGCCGUGGAAGAGGAGCGAGCCAGAGAUGAAGCAGGCGGUGGUGCUGGUGGAGAGGAUGUCUGAAAGAGACGUUAAGGAUGCAGUGGCACGCGGACGUGCACACAGCCAAGAGCAGAAAAGUACAGCCAGAGCAGAGUGUGCAGCGGAGGGCUCAGACGAGGAGCCUCUGAGUCAUAAGAUGAAGAGACUGAAAGAGCAGAGCAAGACUGCGAGAGGCAGGAGACCAGCGGCAGAUGCCAGUUCAGACGACGAGCCCUUGGUGAGGAAAGUGAAAGCAGCGAAGGUGAAGGAUAAGUUUAGAAAGAGAGCUAACGGAGAAGAGGACACAGUCAAACAAGAUUUAACAGAAGAAACGAGAAGAGGACUCGCUUGUUUCACCGUUCUGUGGAUCAGUAGUUCUGUGCUCAUUCCUUUAUUUAUGUAUAGGAAUAACGUCGCAUUUUCUGAACUCCUAAACCCCGAAACGUGAAUCCCUUUCACUCCAUAACACAUUGAAAAGCUUGAAGUAGUUUCUUUUAUAUUGUUUUAGCAUUUUAAAUUUUGUAUGGUCUUAACCAGGCUUCGGCCUUUUACAUCGUGUACGCUGAUGGUUUUUGAUUUGUAUUUUAAAACAAACAAAAAAAAGUCACUAAAUGUUAUUUACAUAGUUUCUAGGAAGGAAAGUGAAAUGAAAUGUGUUUUUUGAUAAUAUUGACGUGUACACAAGUAUAAACGCAGUGGUGUGAGAGAUAAAUGUGGAGAACGCUGUACAGUAGUUUUCUUUUUGUUUUUUGAUGACCGUUGUUUAGUUUCUUGUGAUUUAAUGUGAUUUUACCAGAUCAGAUUGUUGGAAUUCCCAACAAAUGAAAUAUUCCCGCUGUCAAUACAAUCUAAAGGCUUAAAAAAAUAAAUUACAUCAGUGACUUUGUAAUGAAAAUUGUAGGAACUCUGUGGUUAUUGCCUCUCACCGCUUUUUUCUUUACCGAACCAUACCAUUUUGUCACUCGGCUCUAAUAUAAAUGUCAAGCUUUAGCAAAAAGCUAUAUACAGUCCCCUUCGACACUAUUGGAAAGAAAAGGAAAAUUCAUUUGUUUUUGCUGUAGACUUAAGACAUUUGGGUUUGAGGUCAAAAGAUGAAUAUGAGAAGAGAGUUUUGAAUUUUAGCUUUUAUUUCCUGAUAUUUAUAUGUAAAUGUCUUCAACAAUAUAGAACACAGCACACUUUAUAUCAGAUUACAAAAUUUUGUAGGUGAGCAAAAAAUACUGGAACAUGUGACUGACAGGUGUUUCCUUGUUACCCAGGUGUGUCCUGUUAGAUUGAUUGAUUGCUUGCUUAAACAAUAAAUAGCUCUGAGCAUCUACUCUUGGUUUUAGCUUUCAGUUUCUCCUGUGAAGACUGCAUUUGUUGUUAAAAAGGAUAAACUAACAUGAAGAUCACAGAGCUGUCUAUGGGAGAAAAAUCCAUCAGAGUCACUGCACAAACACUGGGCAUAGCCAAUAGAACAACUUGGAAUGUCCUGAAAAAGAAAGAAACCACUGUUGUACUGAGCAACAGACACCACUGAAUGGGUCGGACAAGGAAAAGAACAACAGCUGAUGACAAACAUUGUAAGAACUGUGAAGAAAAACCCAAAAACAACAGUUAGUGACCUCACCAACAACCUCCACAGGGCUGGGGUAAAGGUAUUUCAAUCCACCAUUUGAAGAAAACUUCAAGUGCAGAAAUAUAGAGGCCAUACCACAAGAUGUAAACCACUCAUCAGCAGUAAGAAUCAGAAAGCCAGGUUGGAAUUCACAAAGAAAUACAGACAUGAGCCACAAAAGUUCUGGAACCAAGAUUAAGCUCUUCCAAAGUGAUUGAAAGUUCAAAGUGUGGAGAAAGAAAGGAUCUGCUCAUAAUUCAAAACAUACGAGCUCAUCUGUGAAACAUGGUGGAGGAACUGUUAUGGAUUGGGUUUGCAUGUCUGCUUCUGGAACAGUCUCACUAAUUUUUAUUGAUGAUGUCACUUGUGAUGGUAGCAGAAGAAUGAAUUCAGA